rnacentral:rRNA from 1 species
AGGAUGAACGCUGGCGGCGUGCCUAACACAUGCAAGUCGAACGUCCUGUCUCGCAAGAGGCAGGGAGUGGCGGACGGGUGAGUACCACGUGGGUCAUCUACCGUGAGGUGAGGAAUACCGGCGAGAAAUCGCCGACAAGACCGCAUAGGCUCGAUGCAAGUCGAGCAAAGCUCUUUCGAGAGAGGGAGCGCCACACGAGGAGCCUGCGCCCGAUUAGCUAGCUGGUGGAGUAACGGUUCACCAGGGCGACGAUCGGUAGCUGGUCUGAGAGGACGAUCAGCCACACUGGGAUUGAGAACGGCCCAGACUCCUACGGGGGGCAGCAGUGAGGAAUUUUCGUCAAUGGGGGCAACCCUGAACGAGCAACGCCGCGUGCAGGAAGAAGGUUUUCGGAUCGUAAACUGCUUUUCUCGGGGAAGAGAAUGGACGGUACCCGAGGAAUCGAGCCCCGGCUAACUACGUGCCAGCAGCCGCGGU